rnacentral:pre_miRNA from 1 species
AGAGGGAUAGCUGGGUCAAGUGGUGGUUCCAUUCCAGGUUUUCGAAGCAAUCUCCAUAGUGUUUUCCAUAUUGGCUGCACCAAUUUGCAGUCCCAUCAGCAAU